rnacentral:rRNA from 1 species
CGCCUGUUUAUCAAAAACAUGUCUUUUAGAUUUUAUUAAAAGUCUGACCUGCCCAAUGAAAUUUUUUAAUGGCCGCGGUAUUUUGACCGUGCAAAGGUAGCAUAAUCAUUUGUCUCUUAAUUAGAGGCUGGAAUGAAUGGUUGGACGAGAAAUCAACUUUCUUUAAUAUAUACUUAAAACUUAAUUUUUAAGUCAAAAAGCUUAAAUUUUAUUAAGGGACGAGAAGACCCUAUAGAACUUUAUUAAUUUAUUAAACCACACAAUUUUUUUUAUUUACUUGUGUGGUUUAUGUAUAUUAAUUGUGUUGGGGUGACAUAGAAAUUUUAUUAACUUUCUUUUUUUCUACUCAUUGAUUAGUGUAUUUUUAAGAUCCAGGUUUAUCCUGAUUAUAAGUUUAAGUUACCUUAGGGAUAACAGCGUAAUUCUUUUGGAGAGUUCAAAUCGAUGAAAGAGUUUGCGACCUCGAUGUUGGAUUAAAAUUAGUAUUAGGAGUAGAAGAUUAAAUACUAGGUCUGUUCGACCUUUAAAUUUUUACAUGAUCUGAGUUCAAACCGGAG